rnacentral:lncRNA from 8 species
GUCCUAUUAGGAUGUGUUUUUAGUUAGUAAUAUGUGUCCAUGCCUGCCCUUUUAGAGCUUGUUCAAUCCAGUGGAGUGUGCAGGAGCUGGAGAUGCUGACCUCAGAGGUUCUUCUCCCUCUGCUGUCCCAUGAGGCUGUUCACAGCCUGAUUUAACAACCUCAAGUGAGUCCCAUCUACUUGGCAGCAUAGAGCAAUAUCUAUGGUGAUUUACUCACACUCUGCAGAGCUUAAUGGAAGGAAUGUUGGUCUCUGUGUGGUUGUAACGGAUAGAAAUGUUUAUUUUUCUGUCUCUGUGUGGUUUAACCCCCAGUUCUGCUGCCCCGGCCAUGAGUUUAUCCCCAGUCUGCCUAGCUUAGGCUUCUCCGGGUGGACGUCUGGUGGGGUCUGGCUGGACUCAGCUCCCGCUUCCCCCUCAUCACCUCCCUGUGCUUCCUCCUGGACAACCUCCUCAGCAUCCACAGAAGCCUGGUCUGCAAAUUCAGCUCCCUCCUCCUCUUUGAGGCUGUGCUAGGAUACCUGCUAAGACUGGCCCACAGACUGGUAGUGUAUAGAGCCCAACAUCCCUCCCAUCACUCAGUUUUAGGCUAGUCUGUGUAUCAGUCUGUUUAGCUAUCAUGCCACUCCUGUCAUGCUGAACGCCACCUUUCACAUAUGACAUGGAGUACAAGGACUGGAAUGUUAGCCAAACAGACUGGUACCUAGUGCUCUUGUGGUGACCACAUUAUCGCCACACAGGUAGACAUAAGUCUAAAGUCUAAACACUCUAAAGUUUCUAAAACUGUUAGAAUGGUGUCUGUGAGUAUAACAGAACUCAUAUGGUAGGCAAAAACCUGAGAAGAUUCCAAGCAGGAAGUGGCCUGUCUGACAAUUUGUAGUCCUUCUGUUGCAUCUCUAUCAAAAUUAC